GCUUACGGCCAUACCACCCUGAAAGCACCUGAUCUCGUCUGAUCUCAGAAGUUAAGCAGGGUCGGGCCUGGUUAGUACCUGGAUGGGAGACCGCCUUGGAAUACCAGGUGCUGUAGGCUU
rnacentral:rRNA from 18 species